rnacentral:rRNA from 1 species
AUGAACGUUGGCGGCGUGCCUAAUACAUGCAAGUCGAGCGAACAGAUGAGGAGCUUGCUCCUCUGACGUUAGCGGCGGACGGGUGAGUAACACGUGGAUAACCUACCUAUAAGACUGGGAUAACUUCGGGAAACCGGAGCUAAUACCGGAUAAUAUAUUGAACCGCAUGGUUCAAUAGUGAAAGACGGUUUUGCUGUCACUUAUAGAUGGAUCCGCGCCGCAUUAGCUAGUUGGUAAGGUAACGGCUUACCAAGGCAACGAUGCGUAGCCGACCUGAGAGGGUGAUCGGCCACACUGGAACUGAGACACGGUCCAGACUCCUACGGGAGGCAGCAGUAGGGAAUCUUCCGCAAUGGGCGAAAGCCUGACGGAGCAACGCCGCGUGAGUGAUGAAGGUCUUCGGAUCGUAAAACUCUGUUAUUAGGGAAGAACAAAUGUGUAAGUAACUAUGCACGUCUUGACGGUACCUAAUCAGAAAGCCACGGCUAACUACGUG